AGCACUAUCAUUAAUUAUAUGUACCACUUGGUUGCCCAGACUUCCUAUUUUGCUUUGACCAAGAGGAAAAUCAGAGCCAAAUUUGUGGUUCAAAUAUAACAACUAUAUGGGACUCUAAAUCAUUUAUUUAAACCUCUGGGACUUCCCUGGUGGCGCAGUGGUUAAGAAUCCACCUGCCAAUGCAGGGGACGCGGGUUCGAUCCCUGGUCCAGGAAGACCCCACAUGCUGCAGAGCCGCUAAGCCCGUGCGCCACAAUUAUUGAGCCUGCGCUCUAGAGCCUGUGAGCCACAGCUACUGAGCCCACGUGCCACAGCUAAUGAAACCGGAGCACCUAUAGCCCGUGCUCCGCAACAAGA